UUUCCUCUCUCAUUAAAGACACUACCUCUCUAACCCACUACACACUCUGAGAAGGAAGAAAAAAGAAAAAAGAAAAAUAACAAAAAAGGUUUUCCCUCACUUCACUUCCGUCCUUUCCACAGCUCCCACAAAACCACCGUCAACAGCCACAACAACAAACACAACCACGUACGUCGUUCGUCUUUCACCGCACCACAACGAAUCCGCUCAUUUCCAUUCACAACCGCACCACCACUCAUAACCUAACAGCUUCGACAACCACCUAAUCCAUCUCCUCACUCCUAAUUACCGUCCGCACCGUGGAACAACAAUAUUACUACCGACGAGCUCCCUCCACGAAACCUCAUCCGCCGGAAACCCCCUUCCUUCGCCUCACAACAAACCGUUGGCUGUCCGACGAAAUACACAACCAACACAACAAGAAACCUUAUUCACAGCCAUGACGGAAUCGCCGAGACCGUUGCGUCUUACCGGAAUGGAACUCCGACGCGGCGACAAUCGGCGACAGUAGAACCGCUUUUGUGGUGAAGUUGUGGAUUGAUGUACGGUGUGAGCUUGGCGGUGUGAGGAUCUGAAACGGAAAUGCAUGAUGAAUCGAUUGCGAGAAGGUGAAGAGAACGAGACUGAAAGAGUGAAGGAUUGGAGAUUUUGAAGUUUUUUUUGAAGAAACUGCAGAAUCUCAGUACGGUAAAUUUUUAUAGCAUUCUGAGUUGGUUAGAAGUUAGGUUGAAAUUCACAAUGAACUUCCUCUCAAAUUUGAUAGUUAGUUAGGAAUUAUCAUUCAAAUGAAAUUGGAAUUCAUAUCAAAUAUUUGAAAUUCACGGUAAAUCAUUAAGUUGCAUUUAGUUAGUUCUGUUUGUAUUUGUUAGUAAUUCUGCUAGACUUUUUUUAACUGAUGUUGAUUCUGUUAAUUUCUUCCUAAUUCAAAAUGAAUUAUCUAUUUGUGAGUAACCUCAGUUAGAUGUUAGAGUUGUUAGUUGUGUAUGAUUCCAUCGAAAUAUGCUUGAAGUUUUUUUUUUCAAUUCUGUUGAAUCAUCAAUUAUAAUCAAUUUACAAUACGAGUAUCCAAGAUUUUAUGAAUAACCGUUAGAUGUAAUUUUGAAAAACCUGCUAUUUGACCUUGUAAUGGCAAUAGACCAUCCAUUUGGUUUUGGAAUGACAUGAUUUGUAAGGUUAAAUUAAUUAUCAUUUACUAGUUUCUACUUAUUUUGAAUUCACUUGCUGCUACUUCUGUUAUAGACUUAUGCUGCAAAUAUUGCCUCUGUUAAUGACUACACAUUAUGCUUCUAAUGUUAGCAACUAUUGACAAUCAAUUAUAUUAUAUUCUUUUUUAAAUCAAAUUCUUUUUAUUUAUGGAUUUGGCAAUGUCAUGCCGGUAUACCACCAAAAUUGUAAUACAUCAAGUGUAUACUUUCGCCGCGUUUGGAUUUUGCAAAUAACAUUAAUCGUUGUUAUCUCGCACAAACCGGUUUUAGCACAUAUUCCAUUAAAAAAUCGACAAUGGUCACUUAUGCUCUUUAAUUAUAAUUGAAAUUAAUUAUUAAACUUUGACUAGUUAAGUUGUUUUGGAUUAAUUAAUUUUAAUUAACUUAGUUAUUUGAUUUAAUUCAAUAAUUUUGAUAAUUAAUUUUAAUUAGUUUAUGACUAGUUAAGUUGUUUUGGAUUAAUUAAUUUUAAUUAACUUAGUUAUUUGAUUUAAUUCAAUAAUUUUGAUAAUUAAUUUUAAUUAGUUUAAUUAAUCAAUUUAACCAAAUUUUAAUCGAUUAAUCUCGUCAAUUAUGCAUUGAUCGAUUUCUUCCACUAGUACUUCACAUCAUUUUGAAACCAUUUCAUCAUUGAGUCAAAACUAUUUUUAAACCACUAAAAUCACACAAUUCUUGAUUUAAUAUCGAGUCCAUUUUCAAACACUCUUGUAAGUCGAUCGCUUUCAAAGCAUCGCCAUCAACCUCACGUAGCUUACUCUUGGGCUUUCUUACAACGAGACCUAUUCGAUUUUUAUCGAGUAGAAGAAUAAUACACUGAAAUAAAAUUCAUUUCAUUCAUAAACACAAAUUAAAACCUCGAUCCAAUGUCGAGUAUUUUUUAUCCAAAUCAAAUUGAAAUACCCAAUCACAAUAAAAACACUUUCAUUUGGAAAUGAAAAGGGGGAUGGUUUUGAGUUUUCAACUCCUCCCCUCGAUUAUUUGAAUACGAGUUCUCUUACUCGGCUAGUCAAAUAGUCGUUACUUCUACCCACCUAAGCACAAACAAUCGAAUCAUCUUAUAAUAAGAAACGAAAAGGGAGAUGACUUUGAGUCUUCAAUUUCUUUCCUCGAUUAUUUGAAUGCAAGUUCUUUUACUUGGUUAGUCGAAUAGUUGUCGUUUCCUCUACAAAUCUCCAAACCUCGAUUAAAUCAAAAUAUUUUCACAGUAAGAUAAAUGAAAAGGGAGAUGACUUUGAGUUUUCGACUUCUCUCCUCAAUUGUUUGGAUACGAGUUCUCUUACUCGGUUAGUCAAACGACCGUCAUUUUUUCCGUAAAUCAACAAAUCAAUCAAAACUGUACGAAAAGGGAGAUGGUCUUGAGUUUUCAAUUCCUCUUCUCAAAUGCUUGGAUAUGAGUUGUCUUAUUCAGUCCUUCAAGUACUUGUCGUUCAUUCUAAAAUACGUCAACCACACAAACCAAUUUUCAUAAUCACUCAGAUGAAACAGAAAUCGGUCUAGAGUCUUCUAUUCCUUUUCCCGAUUAUUAGGAUACGAGUUGUCUUACUCGAUUAUUCGAGUAUUCGUCAUCCGUUCAAAACAUCUUAACUAUUAUCAAAUCCUUUCUCUAAUUAAGGAUGAAAAAGAAAGUGGUUUGUAGUCUUCCACUCCCUUUCCCGACUGUUAGGAUACGAGUUGUCUCACUGACUAUCCGAGUAAUCGUCAUCCAACCAAGAACAUCUCGACCAAUCAAAACGUCAAACAUAUUAAUCCAACUUGUCACCCUCGUGUGAUCAAAACUCUUUUCAGAAAGAACACUGUUAAUCCCUUCUAAUGCGCACAACAAACUAGUGCUUAAGCCUCCGCCGAGAGUAGACAAGCCAGCGUUUAGCCUUUAGAAUAUGGUCUAAACAGUUGUUCAUAAAAAACACACCAACCAACCGUAGUCCCCGAACUACGAAUGCUCUGAUUUCCUUAUUAUACCAUAAGGAUACGUAGGCAGGAGAUUACUGUAUCUUCGCGAGCACACUAAUAAAAAACCUCCCCUUUCCCUCUCUGAGGUUCUCAUCCAUUUCUAUUUUUAAUAACCUAAAGAUAACAAACAAACAUAAAUUAACACUCGAAACACACAUUAGAACUAAAAGGUUCCCGUUGAGUACAACGGACGUAAGGGGUGUUAAUACCUUCCCCUUACGUAAUACACCCCCGAACCCGAAUAUGGUUGCGACGACCAUUAUUCCAUUUCCUAAAGGUUUUAUCGAUAUUUUCCUAUUCCGUCAUUGGGAUAAAUAAAGUUCGGUGGCGACUCUGUUCGAACGUAAAUUUUUCCGGGACCAUCGCGAGGAAUCGCAUUUUUCGAGAUGCAACAAUGAUCUUUAGAGUCCUUAUUCAAUUCAUCAGAACCUACUCUUCAUAGUUUAGUGAUACAAUUCACCAGAGUUGUUUGAGCAUAGGACUUCAGAGCUUGACAAUGUUAGAAGCUUCAUAGUCAUAAAACUUUGGAUAAGUAGAGGUCAAAAGUGUUGAGUACAAAAUCCAGAGCUUGAGUAUCUUGUAAAGCACACAUCUCAAAGUCAUAAUGCACUAGGUUUAGAAUCUGAUGACAUCAUACUUUAUUCAAUUAGAGUCAGAAUUUAUGUCUGGUAUUUUGCACACUAAACAAAACGGUUAGGGUACAAAAUUAUUCUCUAAGAGUCUAUGUAUUAUUAUCAUCAAAGCAUAAGGUUAGAUGUAGAACCAAAUCUUAUACUUACAAUCUCCCCCUUUUUGAUGAUGACAAAACCAUGAAUUUUGAUGAACAAAUUUUACUUUGUUUAAUCACAUAAAAAGCAUCAGAGUGAGAUUUGAAAGCUCCCCUCUGAGUUUUAUAGUAUUAAAAUUAUUUCUCAACUUAAAAUUUCAGAGUUAGGUUUGCAAGUUCCCCCUGAGUUUAAGACUUAGAAUAAUUUUAACGCAUAAAAUAUUUUAAUCAGCAUGAAAGAAGUAACUUCCUAAUAUGAGGAAGCCUGGUUGAAAUUGCUUAUGGACUUUCUUGACUAUGUGUAAGAAUGUGAUGUAUCAGAAAGUCUGAUUGUGAGAGUCUUGAAGGAACGUAUUGCUUGUAUCCGGACUUGAUUAGAAAUUAUCAAUUUCUUGUAUCAAGGUCUGGUUAGUGAUAACAGUCCAUCAUUGCAUAUAUUUAGUCGAAGAAUCAAAGUAAAACAAGUGAAAGUCGAACAAAUAUGAGAAGGAAUGACCAAAGAAUGAAGGAAAAAUAACUAAGUAUGCAAAUUGUGAACUUGGUGAAAUUUUGAGUGAAAAAGGAACAAAAAAGAGUGAAGCUUAGGAAAUAAUCACACCCACCAUCGCACAUGCGACAAAGCAUUAAAAGCAUCAUCGUGCGAGCGAUACAGAGUAUCACAUGCGGGAUUUUCACUUUUCUGGGUCUUUUUUGACGCGUCUUGGUCCAUUCUGACACCUUUAAGAGGGGAAUUUCUGCACUUUCAUAGGGGUUAUGAAAUUUGGCAUUGGGAGCAUGAUUUUACAACAUUAAAGGGUGAUUUUGAGAGAAAUGGAAGCCAUUGAAGGCCAGUCCUUCAAAGGAAUUCAUACACGAGGUUACUAUGGGCUCGAUUAUUGAGGGUGAAAGUGUUAAAGAAGUUUCUUGAAAUUUUUGAAUUUUUUGCCAAGAAUACUAAAGUAGAUACAAGCAUUACGUUGUCCAAACUUAUUUCAAUGAAUUACAAAAGCAAACAGAAGUUAAUGGACUGCAUUAUAGAAAUGUCUAUUGUCCGUGUUAGUAUGUCCAUGCAAAGUUGUUUGGGGGGGGGGGGGCAUCUGUCAAAUGAUUCCAAAAGAUUUAUGUAUAAGGGUGACACCAUUAAAAUAAGGGGAUGCAAUCACACAAAAGGAAGUAUCAAUGUUCCUCAACAUGUAUAAAGGACGACAAUUAUAAUCACAAUUAUUUAACCUUCUUUGGAGUACUAAAUGGACCUUUUUUAUUGGGCUUUUGAUCGGUCUAAAACACUUACCCCAAGACUUAUCAUGGAGUGUUGAAUAAGAGGUCUUCUAGGAUCUGUGUUGGUCUAAUUUUAUCAAAUCAUUCAUGGGUGAAACUUGAUGUAUUAGAUUGAAGAAGAGAGGAUAUCAAAUACAUUAAAUAUCUUUCUCAUCACUAGGACUCUUUCAGUGAAUUUUAAACAUGUGUCCAUAGUUUUCAAAUUUUAAAAUGAAUUGAGUUUUGAAUUUUGAAUUUCGACCCACCUACUCCAUUAACACCCUUAAAACUCUAAGACUCUUAAAACUCUAAGACUAUGUUUUGAUUAAUGGAAAAUAACAAAAAUAAAGUAAAACAAAAUGAAAAAUAUAUAUAGCCCACUUUGCUGUUUGGAUAAUUUAUUAAAAAUACUUAAUUUUAUUGUAUAUAUUCUAAAUCGGAUGAAAUGAAAAAUGAAAAAUUGAAUUAAAUAUAUUUUAGGCAAUAUACUCUUUUUUCUCCCUUAACUAUACCUUUGAGUUAGAUUGUUCCCUUAAUUAUUUUUUGUAUCAGAUUGGUCCUUUAAUUCUUUAAAACGUGUCAUGUUGAUCCUUUUUAUUUAAUUAAUAACAAAAUUAGUGACCAAUUUUUGAAUAUUUCCAUCCUUAAUUAGACGAAAAAGACUAACAUGCCACAUUUUAAAGAGUUAAUGAACCAACCCGACAUAAAAAAAUAAUUAAGUGGCUAAUCUAAACCCAAAGAUAAUUAAGGGACAAAAAAAAGUAUUUGACCUGUAUUUUAUCACAUUCCAUUCCACUACAUUUGUUUUUUUUAAAUAACCAUAUUUUUCAAAUUAAACCCCUAAAUAACCAUUUUUUCAAAAAAAAUAAUCAAAAUAAUCACCUUUCCUAACUGAUGCGUCAGUUGAACUGACGCAUCCAUUUAACCUUAAGAGGAGUCGCCAUUGGAGCUGGCGCAUGCUCCCAAUGGCCAUGCAUGUAGGCGUCAUGUCUCUUGGCGUAUACAUACACUACAUAGUGUAUGCACCAAUGCAUGUGGCGCAUGCACCUUUAAUUUUUUAUUUUAUUUAAUUUUAAAUGUUAAUUUAACAAUUAAAUAAAAAAAUAUUGAAAAAAAUAAUUAUAUUUAUGUUAUAAUAAAAAUUAUAUGGAAUUGACAAAAAAUUCAAUGACCAGACCGAUUGAAACGUCCAUCUGUUCCACAUCCAAGUGCGUUAGUCUGUCUUCGAGUCUCCCACGAUUUUCCUGAGAUGUUUGGGGUCUUUAAGUGCUGACAUAAUCCAAUGGUGGCUGGUGUGAAGGUCUGGUGGAAGGUCCAACAAUAUUUGAUAGGUGUGCCAUCAUUUGUUCCCAAUAAGGGGGGGUGGUUCUCGCCAACGGCGCUUCCGCAAUUGAGUUUGGUGCCCAUGUUGUCGUAGUUGGGUCGAUGUGGUUGAGUGAAUUAUGGACGGUAUAGUUGCCCAAAUUUGGACAUUGAAUCAUUUUGGAAACGAAGCAAUGGUUCCUGGGGUGUACUAUUGUUAAACAAUGGUUGGGUGUUAUGGUGAUGGGAUGUUUGGAUGGUCAUUGGUGGGGGGAUACGAUGACAUGAAUUGUAUGAAUCGUCUGGGCUAUAGAUUAUUGUGUUGGUUGCGUAUGAUUGUUGGUGGAUAGGGUUUGAUUCUUGGUUUUGAGGUUGGGUGUGUGGCAUGAAUGAGUUGUGAGGUUGGGUGUUUGGUUGUUGGGUGUAUGUGGUAGGGUGAUGGUGUGAGGUUGGUCGUUGGGUUUGGGUGGUUUGACAUUGUUCUUGGACGGGGACUUGUUGUUGAGCAUAUGAUAAUGAAGCUAGUUGGCAUGGAUCAAUCAAAUCCCUUGGCUCAGACACAAAUUGUUACGUUGUAAUCGACCUAAACCAUGCCAUAUACUAUUGAGUUGGUCUAGCACCCUGUAUGACUGGUUCGUUUAAGAUGUGUUGUCGUCAACUCCUCCAAUGACGACACAUCUCUUUUGCAAAGUCUCUCCAGUCGAAAUAAUCCCAUUGGACAUCGACUCUUUUUUUAUGCCAAUCUCCCAAACACGUCGGAGGUUCUGGAAUUUGUUGUUGCAUGUCGAACUGCAGUUUUACCCAGUCAUUAUGGUGCAUCUCCACAGUAGUGAAUCAGAUAAUUGGUGUUUUUGCUGUCCAAACUGCAACACCAUCAUGGUUAAUCUGAUGAUCAAGACCUAGAUAUAACCUCCAGAUAAACUGUACAAUAAUAUACCAUGAUUAAAUAAUAAAUAAUUUGAUAAUUAUUUUUAAAUCAAAAUAAAGUUGUGUAGGAGUAUUACAUCGUCUGGUCCAAUGUGAUCCAAUAGAUUGCGAUAGACUAAUACAGCGUGUUUCAGACACCUAUUAUAGUUCAUCCCUCUAACUGACCACCUAGAUAAAAAACAAUUGAAAAAUAUUAUUUACAUUUAACUGUAAUGUAAAAUUUAAUUAAUUAUAUGGUAAAGUUUUAAACUUACUUUGUUGCAAACGGGAAUAUGAAUGGUUUCUCGUUUACCGGGGCGCGUGACGACAUUCUUGACCAACCCCAUUCUUGUAGAAACUAUGCGCAUGAAUAAAACGUACAAGUAUUGUUUUGGCAUUUUUACACAUUGCACUACAUAGAUAGGCCAAAACAGCUGAACCCCAACUAUAUGUGAUUACCUUAUUUAUGUUCUGUAACAACGGUAAAUACAUAAUAUUUACCGUAUUAUCAAUACUUUUGGGAAAUAAAAAAUUACCAAAUAAAAUCAUAAUAUAACACCGAGCUUUAAUUAUUUUUUCAUACUCGGUAGAUUCUUCGGUCAAUGUUAUACUCGCAUAAUAUUGUUUGAGACAUCUUAAAUUAAUACCUUGCCCCCUAGCUUGACAAUAUGUCUCUCCCGCAGCUUGAUCGUCACACAAAGGGGCACCCAAUAAUUCAUUGUAAAUAAAGUUAUCCUGGUUAACUAUACCAUUUACGACCUUACCAUCGAUAUGUAGACCCAACAACAUGUAGACGUCCUCAAGUGUGAGGAUACACUCAUCGAAAGGAAGGUGAAAUGUAUGGGUCUCGAGUCUCCAUCUCUCCAAUAAAACAAGAAUAAAUUUAUAGUCAACUGAGUACGAUACUAUGUUGAGGAGAUUACCAAAACCGCAUCCUCGAAUAUAUGGUUCUAUCAAAGGAUCGUGGGGUACAUAUUCAUGUACAUGAAAUCGAAAUCGUUUUGGGUCAUAAUAAAACAUAAGUAAGAAAUAAAACAAGAAGAAGUAAUAUACAAUAAAAACAUAAAUAAGAAAUAAAUACUAAAUAAAUACGAAAUAAAUACAAAAUAAAUACGAAAUAAGUAAGAAGAAGUAAUAACAUACAAAUGUCGAGAUAUUGUUGAUUGUUCCUCGAUGUUCAUCACCCAUAGUCAAUAGAGACAUAAUGCUGCAGAUGUUAAGUGUUGUAGAGGUUGAGUGUGGUAAAGAUGGAGUGUUGCAGAGGUUUAUUGUUAGUGUUGCAGAUGUUGAGUGUUGUGAGUUGAUGCCCUAUUUAUAGACGAGUAAGUGUUGCGUUGAAUAGGUAUGCAACAUGUGAAGCAUUGGAUAAGGUGCAUGCAUGUGACAUAGGUGUAAGCGCCUAAGGCUAGGGCACAUGCCUUGCUUUAUGACAUGCACCAAGGCUAGUGACGCAUGCAUGUCUUUUUAUGCAUGCAAGUGUAACACCUCAAAAUUUGCCCUCCUCUUCUUAGGACUAGUUUAGCAUAUUGCAUUUCAUUUUAGGACAUUAGGCAUUGAAUUUUGCAUAUCAUAUGGAAAUAAGAAGUCAUCCUCCAAAGUCUUUUCAGAGUUGGAGAAGUUGUAUGAUUCAAGCCUGAGGGUCUCUUUGAAUUGGUGAUCAACCAUCUGAGGGUUUGCACUUCAAUUAGGGUUUCCUGAUCCUUCAAAGGUCUUGAGUAUUAUCUUGCUUGCAAGGAUAUAUUACCAUCAUCAUGGUUCUAUCGUCAUCAAGGGUUCAUGAUUCAUGCUCAAGUUUCCUUUUGAUUAGGGUUUUGACCUCUGGUCAACCCUAAUCAAUGCCAGUCUUCCAGUCAGGGUUUUUCAAGGAGAUAAGGUCUUUGCUGAUGAUGAGGAUCAUAUGAUCAUUAUAUUGAGCUUACAUGAGCUAGGGGUUCAUUUCUGAGCCAUUUCCUCAAGUGGUAGAGGCUCAAGCUGAUCAGGGCAACAUUAUAUUGAGCUUACAUGAGCUAGGGGUUCAUUUCUGAGCCAUUUCCUCAAGUGGUAGAGGCUCAAGCUGAUCAGGGCAUGUCUAGGUCAUCUGAGGACCACAGAAAGUCAACUGUGCAAGAGCUGAUGGCUGUGAGGUGGGGAAAUGAGUUUCAACAUCUCAAUCAUGUUCAAAAAAGGUUCAUUUUUCAUUUCAAACAUCUAUCUUGAAGACUUUGAAGUCAUAUCAAAAGUUUCCAAAAAUGGAAAGUGACCUGUAAUUUCAAGUUUCCAAAAAUGGCAAGUUUUUGGUUCAUAUUCAACUUGACUUUGCAACAUCAAAUAAGAUUCAAAUGGAUUUUUGUUGAACAUGAAAGUUGUAUAUCUUUCUCUCCCCUUUCUAAAAAGUCCAAGAUCAUGUCCAUCUGAUAAUUGGUUGAGAAGUUAUGGCCAAAUGAUCACAAAGUGUACAUGGAAGUUCAACAUGGCAUAACUUUUGAUCCAAAACUCCAAAUUGGUCCACCCUUUUUGCAAAAUGCUUGUCUUGACCAAUACUUUCCAAAUGAAUCAUUGCCUUGCAUGGAAAAUGCUCAUGUGAUAACUUGUUCAUUCAUGUGCUUUUUGGAGGGAAAAUUGACAAUUUGAAUUUGGUUGAUUAUGUAAGCCAUUUGAUCAUUCCAUUGUCUUUUUUGGAUGUUUUUAAGUGAACUUGAAGCAUAACAUGGCACUGUUCACGUGCACAUGUCCAUGCAUAAGCUCACUUUUCAUUUUUUGCCAUUCACUUCAUAACUCACUAAUCCUAAUUAAGCAUUGUCUAAUUGUGAUUACAGCAUCAUUAGUGGAUGGUAUAUAAGCCUAAUCAUAACUGUUUUUGCUCAGAAGAACAAUUCUAGAUCUGAAAAUUUUCCAUUCCCUCCAAAAAUUCUCUCACUUCAAACUUGAAAUUUCUUCGCAUAACUCAUCAAUUUUCUUGCAUAAUCUUGUUCAUUGAGCAUUAUGGAGUAGGAAUAAGCUGGUUCGAAGAAAAUUGGUCCAGAUUUGAGCUACACAAGUGCAUGAACAUGUUAAUGAACUUGAAAUUGAGCUGGAUUGGAGUGCUUUCAACCAUCAAACUCUGUUCAAAGCUUCAAAGCAUCAUAGAGGAGUAGAUCUGGAGAUUUGGAAAGCUUGAACACACGAGUUUUGAACACUGCAUUCCAGGUAGGUGAAGAAUUCGAUCAUCAUUUUUUGCCAUUUCAUGUACAUAGAUGUGUAAAUCUCAGUCUCCUGAACAUGCUGAUAUAAGUAGAUUUAAAUUUGGUUAAGUAUUGAUGAAGAUAUGAUGAUUUAAAAUUUGGAUGUUGAUUUUGUUUUGCCUCGAUCAGUUUGAUCCAUGGAGAGUUAGACUAAACCAAGGCCAUUUUCGUGAUCCUCGUGGUGAGACCUUUCGAAUGAUAUAGACCACGACGAAUUCUGGAAAUUUUCGUGUCGGAGCUCCACCUGUCUCGCCGGAGAAGACGGUUGCUCCGCCGUCUGUAACGUAUGCUAGGGUUUUGGCCAUGUGUACAUCCACGUUGGCGCAUGUGUAGCAAAACCAUUGGCCUUCAUGUGUUUGACCGUGCUUGCAUGGCGUUUGACUCGCUGACUGGGCGCCAUGUGUUUAAGUGAAGCGCAGCGUUUCACUAUUGAGCGCUUGUUAACUUUCAGUGCAUGCGUUCGAUUCUCGCUGGUGCAUGUUUCUGGAAUCCAUUUGUUUUUUCACAUUUUACCUGGCGCACAUAGGUUCGAUCCCUGGCGUGGGCGCUUUCUGAUUUCAUUUGCAUUUUCUUAUUUACCAUAAGCGCAUGGGUUCGAACCAGGUGAGGUGCAUUCUGAUUUUAAUUCAAAUUUCCAUUUUCCCUCCACAUUUUCAUAUUACUUCACAUUAUUUCAUGCAUGUUUAAAAAAUCACUAGAAAUUGUAAAAUGCUUCAAUUUGAUCCAAGUUUUUUUCACAUGUUUGUUUAAAUUUCUAGUUUUUUUUCAUAUGAUUUUCAUGAUUUGUGGAUUUCGGGAUUUUUAUUUGAUAUUUUUUUAUUGAGCCUUGUAUCAUUUUGAUAUGUUGCAUUCAUUUGCUUGUGAAAUGCUCAUGUUUAAUCCAAUUGCCUUGAAAUUUUGCAUGCUUAAUCCUAACAUGUGAUAUGAUUUUUUGGCUUUGGUUUGAGAUUUUUAUCAUAUGCCAUCACUGUUUUGGACACAUGAACAUAUGAUGUGACAAUUUGUGUCACAUAUUUGAUGUUGCAUUUGUGCAUUUUCAUUUACAUACAUUUGAGAUCUUCUGGACCUAAUUUUUGCAUGAUGUUCAUCUAACAGUUGAGCUUGUAUAAAAAAUUUCAAGAUCAUUUGAUUCUUUUCUGUUUCGAUUUGAAUUUCUAAUUUGGGAUGUCCAACUUUGUGCACUUUGGUUUGCCUUUGCAUGACAUGAUUGUUGAAAGCUUGCUUAUGAAAUCUGAUCUUGUCCUUUUGAGACACUUCUUGUUUGUUUGAAUGGCUUCAUGUGAAAUAUGACUUCUGUUUUGACUAUUUGACUUGCCUUUGACCCUAGUCUUUGUACUAGUGGUUUGUACUCACCAAUUGUGUUUUGUGUUUCAGGUAUUGAGCAUUUAGCACUAAUGUUUGGUUUGGUCUCAUUACUUGAGAUGCAAGUUGUUUUGAUUACUAACUCUUAUUGUCUUGUAGGUCAAUUGAUGUGAUGAAUUCACUUGAGUGCUUGCACUUGUGACUUGCAUUGUGUAGAUAUUGAAUAGUUCCACUAUUGACUGUUGGUUUUUCUGUCUGAGAUACUAACUGGUUAGCUUUUGUACAGGUACAUUAGUCGCUUGCUAGCUAGCUUUUGCUUUGCUUUGGAGUGUGGUUGAUACACCAUUGAGGUUGUUUAGCCUUCUCACUCCUUGUAGUCUGGAAGCCCUGUCACUUUUUUGGCAGGCAUUUGGUUGAAGUCCUCCUUAAGAGGCAAUGUUUGUGGUUGUUUACAUUUGUGCCAAAGACCUCCAAAUGAGGCAUGCUACUUGUUAAGUCCUCCUAAGUGAAGAGGCAAUUGACAGAUAGAAGGGACUAGUAGCCAGUCCCCUGUUAUCCAGUGAGUCGUUCUUUAUGCUCGCACUACGUGCUGAUGCUCUAGAACAUGUACCCAAGAUCUCUGUAUAGAGUCAGUCAAGUGGAAUAGGGUCCCUCUUUCUGGAUCCCCACGCUUUCUUUGAUUUAAGCUCACCCAGGCCAGGGUUAAGAGCAUGAGGUCUNUUAUAUCGUUUUUGGUAGAACAUAUAUGAUAGAGAUGAUUGUUAAAAACACAAUUUUGAUUUUUAAAGUUGCUUUGUGUUAGAUAUUUGUAGUAGUUGGUGAUAGCAAUGCAGCCUAGACAAGAUAAGAUGUUGAUGAAAAUUAUAUUAGGAAAUUUAAAAUGUGUGAUUCACACUAACUUUUAGAUUCAUUUCGUUCCAUUAAUAUUAAUAUAUCGAUGCAUUGAGAUGAACAGUGUUCUCUUCAUAAACUUAAAAUUUUUAAAAUGUGAAUUGCAAUAAACACACUAACGUCUAUCUUUUGGAUAAUAGAUUAGACAAAAAUAUUCUUGCACUUUUAUCUCAUGCAUUAAUUAAAGGUAAUAUGAGUUUUUAAAAUAGGAUUAAUACAUCUUUUUGUCUCUAAACUUAUUAAUGUUCCGCAUUUAAUCUUCUAACUAAACAUGUUAAAGUUAGUUAUUUAACUUGCACUUUCAGUUACAUAUCGAUCUCUCUCGGCAAUUCCUUGAACCAAAAAACGUUAGAUCUGUGACGUAUGCGUGACAGUAAAGUUAUUUGUUACAAAGUCGAGUCGCAUAUGUAAUUAAAGAACGGAUUAUACUGAAGUAGAAUAGGUGUCCGUUAGUUAGUACAUGUGUAACUUCCAGGAUUUAAUAUCAAUGCUCUUGUUGUCACGCUACAUAACCAGAAUUAAACGUUUUUUGGACAUAAUUCGACGCAUAGGGACGAAUAGGACUAAUGGAAGUGAAAUUAAGAGACUUAACGUUGUAACUUUUUUUAAUUAAAAGGACUAAAAGGCGGAACGAUUAAAUAAAUUAAUGACUUUGGUGAGUUCAUUAUGCAUUUAAAUGAUGCUUGAAAUGGAACUUUAAGUGGUCGGUUAAUGAUCCUAUUUUUGUAUGUUUUUUUCUAUUUUUUCAGUAUCUCUAUCUAUAAUAUAAAAAAAUUAAAGAUUGUGUGGACCAUUUCGCUCAAAUCAGCCACCUCACCAAGACUGAGACAAUUUUGGUUCAAAUUACUUUUUGCAACUAAUGAUGUCACGUUGUCAAUUCCAAAACAUGUGUUUCUCUCUGUAUUAUGUCUUUACUUGUUAGUUUGAUUCAUUGAUGAUGUCACGUGUUCAUAUUAAUUUCUUUAUUUUAUCUAAUAUGUAUCUUUUUCUACCUUCUUGUUGUAUUUUGUUUAAUCUUCAUCUAUCUUGCUAUUAACUAAAAUAGGAAAACUUUAAAACCGCUAACCUCUUUGGCAUUGUCAUUUUUCUUUCUCUCAUUUUUCCUUAUCGCCUCUUUUGUAUCUGAAACUGUGUUUUCGUCGAAACGUUAGAUCGCAUAGAGCGGUGAAAGGUAAUGAAAACACAGAAGGAAGUUGAAUUGAGUUUCAAUAAUUAAAAUCUUUUGCAAUUCCAAGGAAAUAAACAGAAACUAGAACAAAAAUAAUGAACAAAUUAUUUUUUUAUCUGAUUCGUUGUACCAAAGUUUACCUUCAGUUCACCCGCCAAUGUGAUUGUCGUUAAUCAUAGAGACUUAUCCACAUAAUCUCAACUUGAUUACAAACAAAGACCAAUUGUCAAUGUCUUUCUUGAGUAAUUGAUAAACCCAGUCACUCAAGGAAUCACAAUCAACAAAGAUUGAGAACAAAGUGCUGUUUACAAAAAUGCUUUCUAAGACCAAGGUAGAAUACAACAAAUGAAUUUAGUAUAUUCACAACAAUAAUAUAUUUACUGAAGUAAUAAAUCUAACAAAGUUCCUGUAGUGUAUAGUUUCUUUUUCUCUCAAAACUUUCCACAAACAUAUGCAUUUAUUCACUUAUCAUAUCUCUUUAGAGUGUUAAACAUUGUUCCAUUUCUUCCAGUCUUCUUUAUAAGACAAUGAAGAGAUUCGUUGGAGAUAAAUUGCAAAUACUUAAAUCAGUUGUAUUCCUUAUUAAACGUCUUGUGAAAAUGGGAACUAAAAUGGUCAAAGUACAGUCCUUCACCACAAAAUGCAGUUGUAGGUGGUAAGGAAUAUUUAUUUGUGCGCUGUAACUAUUUUCUCACGGUAAAAUCUUUUGAUCUUAUCUUUCAAUAUUUCUGAGGAGGUUCCGAUCAAAGAGGUGAUGACAAGCAUGCCAAAUAAAGAGAGCAAAGUCGGGUUUGGAGAGAUACUGUCAUCUAAAGAUGAUGUCAUACUCCAAUUUGGUCUGGGGUGCAUAUUUAAAUUUUGUAAAAUUGAUUUCAUUUUAGUUUGCAUCAUAGUGCACAGCAUGACAUGCCAUUUCAUCAAUGAAUAAAUAAAAAUAUCAGUCCAGUAAUAAAUUUAUUGAAAAUACCGAAUCAAAUCGGUUGAAUCAUUUCUCAGUACGGGACAGCAACAGCGUGUAAUAAGUUUCGAAAUUAAAUUGUAGAACGCCAAGUUUAAUUAAUCUACGGUUCAUGUAGUUUAACCUGGUGUGGCUCGUUGUCAUUUUUCAGCAGUUGGUUUCAAAGUUGCGUUUGACCCGCCUGGGCUUCUUACCGGUGCAAACUUAUUUUCAGAAUUGAAGAACGCUGUCUUUGUUCAAUAGUAUAUGUUUGCACUUAUCAUUUUAGUACAUCCGAUGUUAAUUUUUCGAGCAAAUUUUGCCCUUUUUGUCAAUUGUAGUGUCAGUUUAUUUUAUUCUUUCGCGCAAAAUAUCUCGGAUUGAAUAAGAGAGAAUUUUCACAUUUUAUUUCACUUUUAUCACUAUUAUUUUAGGAAGUCGUGAAUUUUUAAUUUGAAUUGAUUUGAAUUUAAUUCCCUUUAAGACCAAUUAAAUCAUUUAAAGAAGAUAACAUCAUUUGCCUGUUUUGUUUUACUCACUGAUGGAUGAUUCAAUUAAUCCGUUGUCAUAUGGCACACCACUGUGCGUGCAUUCAUCUAUAAAAAAUCAAAUUAAAUUAAUUAAUAAAAAUGGAAUGAAGGAAUAAAUAGAGAAAAAUCUUGAGGCUCUCUCUCCAAUCCACCAAAAUCUUCCUCACACAGAUUUCCUUCCCUCUCCACGUUUUCCCUCACAUCUCUCCUUAGCUACUCUAGUUUCACUCUCUGAUUUCACCUCACUUUCUCUCCCCACACGCCACUCUUCCCCCCCAUACACGUUUCCUACUCUCAUUAAAGACACUACCUCUCGUAACCCCUACACCACUUCUGAGAAGGUAAAUAAAAGAAAAGAAAAAAAUAACAAAACAGGUUUCCCUCACUUCACUUCCGUCCUUUCCCAGCUCGCCACAAACCACCGUCACAAGCCACAACAAAAAACACCAACCACGUUACGUCGUUUCGUCUGAUCACCGCACCACAACGAUCCGCUCAUUUCAUUCACAACCGCGACCAACCACUCAUAACCUACAGCUUCGACAACACCUGAAUCCACUCCUCACUCUAAUUACCGUCGCACCGUGGACCAAAUAUACUACCGACAGCUCCCUCACGGAAACCUCAUCCGCCGAAACUCCCCUUUCCUUCGCUCACAACACACCGUGGCUGUCCGACGAAAUUACCCCAAAAACAAACCAACAACAACCAAGAAACCUUAUUCACAGCCAUGACGAAUCGCCGAGAACCGUUGCGUCUUACCGGAAUGGAACUCCGACGCGGCGACAUCGGCGAGCAGUUAAGAACGCUUUUUGUGGUUGAAGUUGUGAAUGAUGUACGGUGGGUUGAGCCUUGGCGUGUGAGGAGCGAAACGAAAUGCAUUGAAUGUCGAUUGCGAGAAGGUGAAGGAACGAGACUGAAGAGUGAAGGAUCUGAUAUUUGAAGUUUUUUUUUGACAGAAAACUGCAGAAUCUCAGUACGGUAAAUUUUUAUAGCAUUCUGAGUUGGUUAGAAGUUUAGGUUGAAAUUCACA
rnacentral:lncRNA from 1 species